rnacentral:rRNA from 1 species
UGGGGAAUUUUGGACAAUGGGCGAAAGCCUGAUCCAGCAAUGCCGCGUGUGUGAAGAAGGCCUUCGGGUUGUAAAGCACUUUUGUCCGGAAAGAAAUCCUUGGCUCUAAUACAGUCGGGGGAUGACGGUACCGGAAGAAUAAGCACCGGCUAACUACGUGCCAGCAGCCGCGGUAAUACGUAGGGUGCAAGCGUUAAUCGGAAUUACUGGGCGUAAGCGUGCGCAGGCGGUUUGCUAAGACCGAUGUGAAAUCCCCGGGCUCAACCUGGGAACUGCAUUGGUGACUGGCAGGCUAGAGUAUGGCAGAGGGGGGUAGAAUUCCACGUGUAGCAGUGAAAUGCGUAGAGAUGUGGAGGAAUACCGAUGGCGAAGGCAGCCCCCUGGGCCAAUACUGACGCUCAUGCACGAAAGCGUGGGGAGCAAACAGGAUUAGAUACCCUGGUAGUCCACGCCCUAAACGAUGUCAACUAGUUGUUGGGGAUUCAUUUUCCUUAGUAACGUAGCUAACGCGUGAAGUUGACCGCCUGGGGAGUACGGUCGCAAGAUUAAAACUCAAA